UAUGGUCACAUCACGUUGGAACACCGAUUCCCGUACUGAUCACCUGAGUUAAGCAACGUCGAGCUUGGUCAGCACCUAGAUGGGUAACCACUUGGGAAUACCUGGUGCUGUAAG